CGCCUCGCUCUCUAUUUCUGUCCACGGAGGAGGAGGGAGGAGGGGGGGAGUCUGACUGGUGCCUCUGAGCCGUCCGGUCGCAGUCCUCUCCCGCUGCAGAGCCUGACCCCUCCCGUCUCUGAUGGAGCUCCGUGAAGACUACAGGGAAACUACAACACAACUUUACGCUUGUUUCCUUUGGAUUUAAACGACGCCGAUAAGCGAUUGUAAUGUUGUCGGGUUGUUCCACAUAAGAUGGAAUCCUGUCCACAGCAGCAGUCAUAAAAACAGGCAGACAGGAUCGCUUACUGCCCAGACUGGCAGGUACGUGUACAAAUAUCAUACACACAAGUGCACACGUAGUACACACAUAGUACACACGUAGCACACACAUAGUACACACGUAGCACCCGCUUCAGUAGACUAGUACACACAUAGUACACACAUCGUAAACACAUAGUACACACAUAGUAGACUAGUAAACACGUAGUACACACAUAGUACACACAUAGUAGAUCAGUACACAUCUAGUACAUACAAAGUACACAUACAGUAGAGUAGUACACACAUCGUAAACACAUAGUACACACAUAGUAGACUAGUUCACAUCUAGUACACACAAAGUACACAUAUAGUAGACGACACACAUAGUACACAUACAUAUAACCUCAUGUAUAUCACAGGUACAUGUUCAUAUAAUACAUGUACAGAUAUAGUACACACAUAAUUCAGCUAUAGUACGCACAAAACUCUUAUCCAACCUCCCGUAAAGACAUAUAGCCGUUGUUUCAACAGUCCGACUGCACAGAGCUAUUCUGGGAAAAAGUAAACAAGCCUCAGGCGACACACACACACACACUCACGCACACAAACUCAUACACAAACACACAUACUCAACACACAAACACACGCACACACACACACACAUACACACAAGCACACGCACAAGAACGCACACAAACGCACACACACAAGGAAGCACACACAAGUACGCAAACACACACACACAAGGACGCACAAACACUCACACACACUUGCACACACACACACACACACACACACACACACACACACUCUCACACACACACGCACACGCACGCACACAGGCACACACAGUCACACACUCUCCCAGGAGUGAACACAAGAGGUGCAGCCCAGCUGUAUUUUCAGGCCGUUCACUUCCUUAUUGCGUACCUGCUCCGGAGUGUGUGGACGCCUCCCUCCCAACUGUCACUGCUGUUGUUUGGGCUGUGCGUGUGCGUGUCGCCCCAGGGGGGAUGGUGUAGUGGUGUUGAUCGUGUCUCAUAUCCGUACCUGGAUGUCUCCGGGGGGGGGGGAGGAACGCCUGAGUGACCCUCUGUAGAGAGCACAGAGUACCAGACCGUGCCGGGAAGGACGCAGAAUAACGCUACAGCGUUUCCGGGACCAGAAUAGCCCGACUGAGUCCUCUGUGAGCAAGAAAACACACCGCUACGUCCACGCCACUGUACACCCUCAUCUGGUCGGAGGACAGGACGGUGGCUCCAGCCUGCGGACUGUGUGUGCAGGCGUUGGGGGGGGCCGGCGUGGAGGGGGUCUACCCCAGUCCAACAGAUCACUGGUGAUAGUGAACGGCGUUCUGAUUGAGCGGGCAUACAGCCUUUAGGUUAGGAGAUCCUGGAGGGGUGCUCGGAUGAGGAAAGGCUGGUGAUAAGGUCGCUGUGUGUGUGUGUGUGUGUGUGUGUGUGUGUGUGUGUGUGUGUGUGUGUGUGUGUGUGUGUGUGUGUGUGUGUGUGUGUGUGUGUGUGUGUGUGUGUGUGUGUGUGUGUGUGACUAUACUCUCCGUGCCAGGCUCUAGUUACAGGACCUGCUGUGUGGCUAGUGUGUGUUUUUGUGUUUGUGUCUUUGUGUGGGUGGGUGCGUCUUUGUGUGUGUGUUUGUGUGUGUGUGAGUGUGCCUCUUUGUGUGUAUGUUUUUGCGUGUUUUCAGUCUGCAUGCCUGUGUGGAUGGGUUCCAGUUACACAUGGUCCAAGCCCGGCCGAGACGUGUCUCUCUCUCUCUCUCUCUCUCUCUCUCUCUCUCUCUCUCUCUCUCUCUCUCUCUCUCUCUCUCUCUCUCUCUCUCUCUCUCUCUCU
ensembl:lncRNA